AUUGAACGCUGGCGGCAGGCUUAACACAUGCAAGUCGAGCGAGCGGCGGACGGGUGAGUAAUGUCUGGGAAACUGCCUGAUGGAGGGGGAUAACUACUGGAAACGGUAGCUAAUACCGCAUACCAUCAGAUGUGCCCAGAUGGGAUUAGCUAGUAGGUGGGAUAAUGGCUCACCUAGGCGACGAUCCCUAGCUGGUCUGAGAGGAGGACAAGCCACACUGGAACUGAGACCGGGGCCAGACUCGUACGGGAGGCAGCAGUGGGGAAGAUUGCACAAUGGGCGCAAGACUGAUGCAGCCAGGCCGAGUGUGUGAAGAAGGCCGUCGGGUUGUAAAGCACUUUCAGCGAGGAGGCGGUACUCGCAGAAGAAGCACCGGCUAACUCCGUGCCAGCCGCCGCGGUAAUAC
rnacentral:rRNA from 1 species